CCAAGAUAGAAGGGCAAUAUCAGUUGUGUGGUGGCAUUAUAAAAGCAUUAGAGAGCAGCGUAGAAGAACCUUAAAAAUCAUGGCUCUGAUGAGGAGUUGGGGGGCACUAAUGUUAUUGAGAUUUUCUAAAAAAAGAAGGAAGCAAGGAGUUUGAAACUAGAACAAAAUUAGAAGAUAAUGAGGACUUGAAGAGGAGGACAAUGCAAGGCUCCAGGCAGUGGCCGAGAUAACCCAACAAAUCAAAUUAAGAGGAGAAUGUAAUGAAACGAUUUUUUUUUUAAGAAACUCAAAAGACUAAAGGUUAGUGGAAGGGAAUUUCAUUGUUUGCCUCUAGAGUUUGAUUUUCAGUUGUAGGGUUGAGCACUAUAAACUCUUGCAAGACAGCCAUUUUAUGUACUAUGACAUACAAAAUUUUAGAGUCUUUAGUUUAAUUUCUUUGUCAACAACAUUUCUUCUUUUCCUUGGAGAAUUUUUAUGGUACCAGUGAGUGAUAUAAAUUGACUUUGUCUAACAAAACUCUCUCUCAGCAUAGUGGGUAUCCUAUUCCUAGAGGAGAGUUAAAUACACAAGAGUCUUCCUUUUGCAUUGCAAGGAGACAAUUUCCAUGCUCAUAAAGGGUGUCCUAGGGGAGAGUCAGAUGCAGUCAACCUUUGCCUUACAUAGCUAGGAGGCAAUUUUACAUGGUUUGAACCUGUGACCACCAAGUCAUCAUUCAGCAUCUUCACAGUUACUCUAGUCCAAGACUCUCUCUCAAUUAAUGAACCAGCUUCCCAUCCUUCAUAUUUACAUACUGAUAUUUUCACAUAUAAAUUGUUAGAAAUGAUAAGAGAUGUAGGCAUAUAAUUUGAGAGAAGAAAAUAUUAUUAGCAAUGAAUAAAGAGAUGGCCUAGCACAGAGACAUGCAGUGAGAUAGCACUAUAUCCAGCCAUUGGAAAAUGUUGGGAUAGGUGUUGCAGCAGUAGUCAAACAAACAACUAGCGCAACCCACUAAUGUAUCACUACUGCUUAAUGUCCAAAAGGCACAACGCAAGUAUAAAAUAAAACGAUUCAGCGGCAUCAAUGCGCAUCUAUGAGCCACAUUCGAGCCAUAAAAUAGUAAAAUCAAAAUAUACCAGUUGACAGUGCAUGGUUCUCUCUCAAAAAUGUAAACAUUCACAAAGACAGGUGAAACUACAGACGAUUAAUUUGAGAAUAUGUUCAGUUGUUAACAAAUUGGAUUUAAGAAAAGCAAAUACCUAAACAAGUUCUAUAUAUGCCAUGGGUGCAUUGUCCCCUCGCCGCGGCAGAGUUCUAAUAAUUCUGGUAUAUCCACCAUUUCUGUCGCCGUACCUGUCCGGGACCUCCGCAAACAAGGCAUGGACGAUCUGCUUUUCAUAAAUGAAGCCCAGAGCUUGUCUUCUCUUGUGGAGAGACCCAUCCUUGGCCAAAGUAAUCAUCUUGUCAACAUACUUUCUCAUGGCGCUGGCCCGAGCUCUAGUGGUUUUGAUCCGUCCAUGUUUAAGGAGCUGAGUAGUGAGGCCUCUAAGAAGUGCCCGGCGUUGGUCAGGAGGCCGAUUGAGCUUUGGAACUCGUCUGCCGUGUCUCAUGGCGAAAAAUCGAGACCCAUUAUCAAUAGAAGGGAACCCAUGUUCAAAACUGGUACACUCCGAGAAACCAAUGGAAAGGAUAGGGUUUAGAGGAGAAAGACCCGUGAAGGAGCGGAGAAAGAGGGGCUUUUGGCGGCGGGAGAGGCAGAGAGCACGGGAACGUAAAGAUGGGAAUCGCACUGCGGCGGUGACUGAAGAAGAAUAAGAAGAAGAAGGAGAAGGGAGUGCUGAUAUUAGAGAUGCCAUGCUCCAUCUCCAUCUACUAUCGCUCCCACAGGCCGCUGCCAUUGCCAUUACCAUUGUUUUCUUGCUUCCACUCUGCUACUACUUACCAUCAACAAAAAUAGUAGGCUGUGAGCUGUGAACUAGAGGAUCAGAUGAAAACAUGGAUAAGAUUCAGGAAUAAAAAGCAGACAGCAAUUGCUUCUGUGUGUCAAUUUGGGCCUCUUCCAGCCCAUCAUUUUUCGGCAAAUGCCUGCCCAGCGGAAUAUAUUUC
rnacentral:misc_RNA from 1 species